GGGGGACAGAGUGGGUGGGGAGGGGAGCCGCCAUACAGUGGCCAGGACCAGCUUUGCCCAAGUGGUGGCAACCGCAUGACCACAGGAACGAUGGCGUGAGCCCCGUGGCAACCUGGAGGAAGGGCGAGUCUCCAGAGCCUGGAGGACAAGUUAGCCUUGCGAAGGAUAGCAGAGGACCCAGCCCAGGGGUCCCCAAAAUGGAGCACCAACCCUCCAUGCAGGCCAAGCCACUGGUGAAUAUGCUGCAAAAAAUAUGCUGGAACUUCUAUGAAUACCACAGGGUGUGAGAAGAAAACAUUAGAACUUCUAUUUUGUACCUGUGUUACUCCACAACAAGAAAGCAAUCAGCUUGAUCAAUGCCUACUGUAAAGACGGCACCGCCCUCCGGAGGUCCUUUCUCAGCCCUGGUGUUCGGACAGCCACAUCCCCUCGCAGCAGGGGGAGGCCUGAAGCAUAGAGGGGCCCAUGCAGGUCUAUUCUGUUUCAGCGAAUUGCCUGGGAAAUAAUCCAGGAUCCAUUUCGUGUGGUCAUCUUGUCUCCCUGGUCCCCUCCAGCCUUUCCUCAUCUUUUGUGACCUGGUCACUCUGGAAGGGCGCUGGCCAGUUAGUCCACAGGAUGGGCCUCCCCUGGGGCUUUUCUGAUGCUUCCUUAUGAUGGCACUGGCAUCCUGAGGGGGAGGACCACAGAGAGGAGGUGCUCCUCAUCACACCACAUGGGGGUCCAUGCACCAGUGCCACUGCUUUCCAGGGCUCUUCACCUUCAUCACUGGUGGAGGUGGCGUCUGCCAAGAAGCAGAAAGUUGAGGCUUAGAAGGUGCACGGCCCUACCUCUUCCGAGGUGCCCCUGCGGGCUGUCUACAGACCAGGCAGCACAUGCCUGAUAGCAGCUGCAUAAGGAAAAGCAGGAGCCAGCUCGUGCACAGUGGCCUCAAGUGUGCACUGGGCAUGUUCUCUGCCUCACCAUCCCUGUGUGACAGAUGAAGCUUCAAGGACCACAGAGGGCCAAGUGCAGGAGUAAGAGGCUGGCGUGCUGACAGUGGCCAAGGGCAUUGGAGGGAAGGACCUGUCAUCACUGGGCCAAGGAAGGAACUCCAGACUGCCUACUUCCAGAGGGCCUGCUGAGUAAGCCACACACAUCCUUGUGGUUUAAACAACUGUUCACCCAGCAUCUUGUCAUUUAUAGCCAAAAGCAAUCCUACCUAAUACACUAGCCAAACACCCAUGGGCUCACCCAAACAUUCAGCAAACACUAAAUCAAUGUUCGCUGAGUA
ensembl:lncRNA LINC01471 long intergenic non-protein coding RNA 1471